UACGUAGGGGGCAAGCGUUGUCCGGAAUCAUUGGGCGUAAAGAGCGCGUAGGCGGUCCGGUAAGUCCGCUCUGAAAGUCCGGGGCUCAACCCCGGGAGGCGGGCGGAUACUGUCGGGCUAGAGUCCGGAAGAGGCGAGUGGAAUUCCUGGUGUAGCGGUGAAAUGCGCAGAUAUCAGGAGGAACACCGAUGGCGAAGGCAGCCCCCUGGGCUAACACUGACGCUCAGGCACGAAAGCGUGGGGAGCAAACAGG
rnacentral:rRNA from 1 species